CACGUCGUGCGAUUUCAUUCACGCUGGCGAACAUACUUUAUAUCUUGUAAUGAUAAUGGUAUUUCUAAUUGCAUUCCACGAUCCUUUAAAUUCUUUAGUGACACACGUAUUGACGUAUCCAUAUUGCUAUAUCUCUUUCACAUACAAUAUAUAAAUAAAUGCUGAUAUUGUAUUGACUGCCAAAAUAAAUGUGCAAUUAUAAAAAGUUUGUUGCAAUCUCAUCCAGGUUACAUUACAGUUGUUAGUUGAAUAUGUUAAAUAAAUCAUUGUAACUGCUUAGACACGCAAUAAACAACUAAGUUGUUUUUAAAUCAGACUAACGUUCACGCCAUAAACCGGAUACAUUUCCUGUGAACUACUCAAGACGAGACAAGUGAGAAAAAACUAUGGUUUUAUUUUCGACGUAUCGUAGGAUUUCAAACAUCCAGUGGUCUAGAGGAGUUUCGAUUGUUGGUGUAAAGGUGCAGUGGCCGUGGCGGACGGAGAGAAUACAGGUUCGGCGGCGGGCGGCGUCGGCCUCGCCGUGAAUAGCAAGGUGUACCCGAGGCCGGGGGCGGCGCGGGGCGUGUGGGCGCUCCCGCAGCCGCCCCCUUGCAACAUGGCGGCGGAGGAGGCGCU